AGAGUGAAGCCCCACUACCUCCUAUAGAAAGACUUUUGGGUGACUAUGGGGGUGAAAAUGCUCCUACUGGAAGGUUAACAAUUGUGAACCAACCGGUAAAUGUUGAUCACUUUCAGUUGCACCCUUCAACGAUUCGUCAACUUGAGAGGAGACCGUUCUCCGGAAAAAUCAAUGAAGAUGCCAACAAGCAUUUACAAAGAUUUCUGACCAUGACGACAUCGUUGAAAAUUGAGGGACACUCAGAGGAAGCUAAAAAGUUGG
rnacentral:lncRNA from 1 species